UCUAGUAGGCCUAUGGAGGAGGGAGGCCUUGAGGGACGAGGAAGAAGGGAGAAGGAAGGCAUGGGUACUGGUGGCUGGCUCCCUUCUCCGUUCUGUUGCCUCCCUCCCUCCUCCUUCCUUCACUCCCUCCUUCCUUUUCUUUCCUUCCUUCUCGUUACUUCCUCCUUCCUUCCUCUCAUUUCUUCCUCUCCUUUCUUCCUUCUCUUUUCUUCUUCCUUCCUCCCUCCUUCCAUCUCACUUUCCUCCUCUCCUUCCUCUCUCCUUUCUUCCUUCUUCCUUUUCUUUCCUUCCUCCUUCCUUCUCUUUUCUUCCUCCCCCUUCCUUCUCUCCAUUCCUUUCUCCCUCCUUCUUCUACUCUUUCCUUCUCACCUCCCUUCACUCUUUUCUCAUUCCUUUUUUCACUUUCUUCCACUCCUUCCUCCAUUCCUUCCCCCUCCCUUCCACUUUUCCUCUCUCCUUCCUCCACUUCUUCCUUCCUCCACUGUCACGUGGCGCCGCGUCAUGAUCACGUGUCUCUUAUCAGCUCAGUCCUAGCAGCCCCAGUGGUCUCUUGUCACUCACUAUCUGCCUCACAAUAACCUUUACAACUUUCCUCCUGGCGCCGCGGCGUGUGGCUCCGGCGACGAGGAGGAACCGGUGAGGGGAAAAGUUUGCCUCCUGCCGCCGCCCCUCUUGGUAAUGAUUUCAGUGGUGUCUGGAAGAGGGGCAUGGGCGGGGGAGGAGUGUGUUUUGAUCUUGGCUGCUCUGCGUCGCCUCGUCCUUCCUUAGUUUUCCUUAUGUGGUGUAAUGGUGGUGGUGGUGGUGGUUGGUGGUGGUGGUGGUGUUAGGCGCGUUACAGUAUGGCCAGUCGAGUCUUGCUAGUGAGAUCAUCAUAUUAAUCAGCUAUUUUUUUUUUCCCUUCAUCUCUCUCUCUCUCUCUCUCUCUCUCUCUCUCUCUCUCUCUCUCUCUCUGUGUGGUAAUUAGUUUUCGUGGUGUAAGAGGUUAAUUCUCGCCCGUGUUAUGUGUGGGCCACAAGGGAGGGAGGGUGCACCGUAGCGGGAGGCUGUGGGGAAGAGCUGUUUCAGUGUGCGUGCGCUCGUAUGUGUGUGUUGGGCUUCCGUGGCGCCGCGAUGCCGCCAUGUAUACGGGCAAGGAAGGCUGUGGGAGCGGGACUCUUAUGCCUUGCUGUGUAAAUGGAGCGGUGACUUUGUGGUGUAGGGAAGGCCUUGCUGCAGGGUGUAGAUGAGCUGUGGCGCGUCCUGCUGAUGCUGUGAGGCACCUUGGUGUUUUGUGCGCUUGGUUUGUAAUAACAUUAGAUAUCGCUGCAAGGGUUUUAGGAAGUGUGCUGAGGGACGUAUUGAAGGUGUGUUGUUUAGUUUAUAGGCAGUGUAAGAUGCGUGGGUGGUGUGUGGAGGGAGGGAGCAGUGAGGUGUGUCGGGGUGUGUAGCUGUGUGAGAGAACCCUGCUGAAGUGUGCGGCGGGGAGCAGGUGGGUGUGGCUUGUACCAUUUAAAGGUGUGUGGGGUGUAGAGGUGUUGGCGGCGUGAGUGAGGAGACUUGUUAGUGCGCGUGUGUCCUCUGUGGUGCUUGUGUCGCGCCGCCUCGGGGCACUCCGAAGUGCGCCCUCGUGCCGGGCAUGGCGGGAUGAAAGGAAGACUAAUACAGGUUUCCACGUAAAGCGAGGUACCAGGAAGUAGAGGCAGUGGGGAGGGGGAGGAGGGCGGGUGGGUGACAUCUUGAGGGAAGGCGUCCCUUAGGUAUUGGUCACGGGCGAUGGUCGUGUAGGUGAAGUGUGUAAAUGACAUCACGCGGCAGUGGCUGCAGCAGCACGCCAGCCGCCGCGUUGAGGGCCAGUGGCGCCGGCAUGUGUUCGCACGCUCGUCUGACCGACUCAUGCUGAAGUACAGCUUUUAUCGCCGAGUCGCUGCUUCCACGUGUUGGAGCAAUAAUCGUAAGCGGUAAUCUCCGAGGAAGAGCCUUGUAACUCGCGCCUCGUUUUCCACGGUAGUGAACUUUUUCUAAGAUAUCUGAGGCGGGAAGCGGAAGCCGCGUCCUGUGGCGGGUCUGGCCGCCGUGCAACAGGUGUGCGGGAGGUGCAGGUGUGGCCACGUCACGUCCGCUCCGCCGGCUGCCUCGCGCUCAAGGGGAAAGAUAUUUUUAAAUGUAUGAAGUAAAGCCGUAGUGCGGACGUACGGGUAUUAAAUAAAAUUAAGUUUUAUUUAAAAGACCAUUUACGUCAGCAUCAACAUAACUUCAGGAAUAUGUUUUUUUCUCUUUCGCAGUGACCACCAUCCAAAGUCACUCCGCCUCCGCCCUGCAUGACCUUCCUCCACCGGCACCACCCACGCCGCCACAGUGCCGCCGCCGCCACACCACGGUAACAUCUCUUUACGAGGAAAAACUGGUCCAUGUCUUCCUGAUACGAGGAUCAUCCCUCCCCAAGACGCCGCCCCGCAACUGAGGCGAUGGUGUUGGCCUCCAGCAGGUGGCAGCAACCGGCGACGCAGGGGCACCGUGUUGAAAGUGAGCCCAUUGGGAAGUGGUGGUAGUGGUGGCAAUAGUAGUAGCAGUAGUAGUAGUAGUGGUAGUAGUAGUAGUAGUAGUAGCGGUGGUGAGAGCAACAUCAGUAGAAGUACUCGUAUUAAUGGGAGCAGCCGCAGUGGUAGUAGUAGUAAUAGUAGUAGUAGAGUAGCAGUAGUAGCAGUAGUAGAGUAGUAGUAGUAGUAGUAGUAGUAGUAGUAGUAGUAGUAGUAGUAGUAGUAGUAGUAGUAGCAGCAGUAGUAGUAGCAAUAAUUAUACUUUUUAUAUGUAUUUUUUGUGGGAUUGCAUGAUAUAUAAACAAACACAUUUUAACAUUAUAGCUUUUUCUCUCUCUUUUUGUGACAUUGACAGAGUAUCAGAGCACUGAACUUGAUUUAAUAGUACGAAGCAAGAAGAAACUAGAAAGAAAAACAUUGGCUUAAACUUUUAUUCGCUGUGUGUGUGUGUGUGUGUGUGUGUGUGUGUGUGUGUGUGGGGCAGCAUGACGCGGCUGUACUUAACCAGACGUGGCCAGCCAAGUUGAUGCUUUGACUGUUCGUGUGUAAAGGAGGAGCAGUCAGCAUCCGACCUGUUGGCCCUAAAGAGGCUGUUAUUGAUAAGAUACACUAAUUUAGAACUAAGGGACGUGGGAUAAUAAAGACGAAGGUCAUACUGUAUUUCUCUCCUUUUGCUCUAAUAUGUUAAGGAAUAAAGGGUAUUCACAUAUGUAUAAUUAUGUGUAUGAAGGCUCGUAUUUUAAGUUCUUUUGCCUUUCUGCAGGACUAACUUCAAAGGCCACAGAGAUUGGUAUUCAAUUUCUCAUGGGUAUUUCUCUCCUAUUGCCGGUACAGAAUUCUUGUUAAACUAUUACUACAACCAUGAAAACUUCCGUGGAAAAUACCCGUAACUUCCACAAGAGUCUGUUAACAGUGGUCGAGAUAAGACGCUGAGACGUUACCGAAUACUAGACUUGGGAGUGUGGUGAAGGAGGACCCGAGUGUGUUUGAGUUUGUAUACCUUUUCUCUUUCCUCUUUCCUCCCAGCACUGCAGAACGUAUUGCCUCAUUUACUCAUUUACUGCGUUACACAACAACACACAGUACUAAAGACAAUGUAUGGAGUCUUUGUAAGCGUAUACAAAGAAGAAAAGGCACAAAAAAGAAUAUAUUUUGUAAUUUCCAGCCAGUACAAUGUUUGCAGGUGCCGGUAUCCCAGAGUAUCUCAGAGUAGAUAGUGAUUAAAGAAACAUGUGUCAGAUAUCAGUGAAAUGGUUAAGUCACUCGUUCCAAUGACUCGCCUUGUUCCACGAAAUAUAUAGAUAGUUCAUUUGAUUCCAGUUCCAGUCCCUGUGUGUGGGAAAGAGAACUGGUCAUAGGAAGAGAUGUCAUUUUCCUUCAAGUGUCCAUCUUUCUUACGUCAGUCGGUGCAGGCUGGUGAAAAUCCAAACAUGCAAAUCUGACAUUCUUGAGUAUAAGUGGAUAAGAGUCUAUUUGCAUGAUGCUUUGGUAUUAUUAUUAUUAUUAUUAUUAUUAUUAUUAUUAUUAUUAUUAUUAUUAUUAUUAUUAUUAUUAUUAUUAUUAAAGUUGAUGAGAGUGAGUAGGUGUGUGGAAUUCCUGGCAAGUGUGUAUGUGCAAAAGAAUGACGGAGAAAACGGAAGAAAAACAAAAAAACAUUUGAACUAGUAAAAUGAACCAGCGCUUGUCAUUAUUGUCCUUAUAUUUAUCAUUACCAGAGAGAGAGAGAGAGAGAGAGAGAGAGAGAGAGAGAGAGGGGUUUAGUACAUAGUAAGAUGGGCAAGAAAGAGGUGUUGGAGAAGGGGGGGAAGCUAAUGGGGACAACUAAUGGGGCAAUAAAGGCAGGGUUUCAGUGCGUGUUUGUGUGUGUUGGGACGCGUGUCCUGAAACGGAGACGUGAGUUGGAGAGAGGAGGUGGACCAUCCAUACAACAACACUACAGAAAAAAAAAACUCCCUUCUUCCUUAGUGUUCCUCUGCCACCCACACAGCCUCCGUCCCUUGACUCCUCAGUUGUAAAGCAUAUGCCGUUCCGUAAAGCAGUGGUGUUAUAUUGUGCAGUGUUAUAGACGAAAACAAAGACAAGAAAAUAAAUCAAUAGAAAAUAAAAAUAAAUUAAAUAAGAAAAAAAGGAAGAAAAACAAACAAUCUGGCAGUCGCCUUUGCUUAUCACAUGCCAAGGUCUUGUCUUCACCUGAGCUCUUAAAAUAAAGCAGUUAAUUAGUCCAUACAUUCAUUUCCAUUCGAUUUGUUUACAUGGUAUCCACGAUCUACCAUCACUCCUACGUCCCCCCCACCCCAUCCCUCGAAAGAAAAAAGUAAAUAAAUAAAUAAAAAAUAAAAAUAA